GACUACAGGGGUAUCUAAUCCUGUUUGCUCCCCUAGCUUUCGUGUAUGAGCGUCAGGUCUAUGAUAGGAAGCCGCCUUCGCCACCGGUGUUCCUCUCGAUAUCUACGCAUUUCACCGCUACACCGAGAAUUCCACUUCCCUCCCAUAACCUCCAUCCCCCCAGUAUUGACUGCCGUUCCGAAGUUGAGCUUCGGGCUUUCACAAUCAACUUAGGGAGACGCCUGCACACCCUUUACACCCAGUAAUUCCGGACAACGCUUGCCCCCUACGUAUUACCGCAGCUGCUGGCACGUAGUUGGCUGGGGCUUAUUCAUGGAGUACUGUCAAACGGAAAGGCAUUUCCUCCUUCCCGCCUUACUCCUCCAUAAAAGGGUUUUACAAUCCAAAGACCGUCAUCACCCACGCAGCGUCGCUGGGUCAGGCUUGCGCCCAUUGCCCAAAAUUCCCCACUGCAGCCACCCGUAGG
rnacentral:rRNA from 1 species